AUCCCAUUAGCGCCUGACAGUCGGUUCGCACAUUCGACUCUUUUCGAGGAGUCGUUCAGGAUUCGUUUGCGGCUGCUGUGGGAUGGUGAGCAGGAACAUGGGGGAGGAGAAGAGAAGGGAAGACAAGAAGCGGCUCAGCUCGGGGCGUAGUCGGCCAGCCACGGUUUGAAUGAAAGGAGACGGAAAUACGAAGAACAGGAGUAACUGAUCCUGAAAGGAAAUUGACUCGGAACGGAUCCGGUUCUGCUCGAAGCGGAACCGAGAAGGCGCACGAGGAAAUUUUAUUAUUAAUUUGUUUUGUGCCCCCCCCCUUUCGGUUUUGUGAGUUUGUGCAAAGUGGAAAGAAGGAGGACUGCAGUUUAAAGAGGGAGCUUUGGGAGAAAUUGGAGGUUAUGUCUAAACUCUUGUGCAGAGAGUCCUGGUAAAGAAACCCGUCGGUUUUUCUCCGAGCUUCUCCUGUUGUUUAAUGCAGUCCAUGUGACUCGGUGUCCCAGCACUCGGCUGAUGAAUGUGAGCGAUAGUAUUCCCACUCAUUCACUCACACACUCUCCUAAUGAUCUGGGAACAUCUCAUGGAUGGUGUGUGUGCGCAUUCCUGCAAUAUACUAAGCUGUAGCAUCUGCUUUGACCUAAAGGCUGUUCGGAUGUUAGACCAGACGCGCCGGAUUUGACUCGGUUUUGGAAAAGCUGCCUCUUGUUUGGGUUUUUUUUGGGCUUCUCUUUGUGUUACAGGAUCCUCACCAGUCCACUAUAGUCCUUCCUGAAGAAAGGCCUCAGAGCCUCGGACUCUCCCUGAGUGGCGGCGGGGGCGUCAUGCGGCCCUGCCCGCGACCACCACCACUCCUACCCCGAGGCUUCUAGGCCUGCGCAGCUUUAGUCGUCUGACCAGUCCAGUAACCUGAGCGCAUUAGUGCACACCAUUACAAUAGCUCACGUUGUGUGUUUGAUGCGCCCCCCCAUAUAUAUUUUAAAUAUAAGUAGGCCCAUACAUAAUUUUAACAAUGGUUAAACUAGAGUUCUUUGCAAGUGAGCGUCCUUCAGUUGUAAUGGCCCAGGUCAGGCUUGGAAUAAUGGGUAACUCAAUAUCUCAACCAUAACCAACUUGAGUGACAUUUUGGAUUAUGAAACAAACCCAAC
ensembl:lncRNA